UACGUAGGUGGCAAGCGUUGUCCGGAAUGAUUGGGCGUAAAGGGCGCGUAGGCGGCUUUAUAAGUCUGGAGUGAAAGUCCUCUUUUCAAGGGAGGAAUUGCUUUGGAAACUAUAGAGCUUGAGUGCAGGAGAGGUUAUCGGAAUUCCCGGUGUAGCGGUGAAAUGCGUAGAGAUCGGGAGGAACACCAGUGGCGAAGGCGGGUAACUGGACUGCAACUGACGCUGAGGCGCGAAGGUGUGGGGAGCAAACAGGAUUAGAUACCCUGGUAGUCCCU
rnacentral:rRNA from 1 species